GAUGAACGCUGGCGGCGUGCCUAAUACAUGCAAGUCGAGCGAACAGACGAGGAGCUUGCUCCUCUGACGUUAGCGGCGGACGGGUGAGUAACACGUGGAUAACCUACCUAUAAGUCUGGGAUAACUUCGGGAAACCGGAGCUAAUACCGGAUAACAUGUUGAACCGCAUUGUUCAACAGGGAAAGACGUUCUUGCUGUCACUUAUAGAUGGAUUCUCGCCGCAUUAGCUAGUUGGUAAGGUAACGGCUUACCAAGGCAACGAUGCGUAGCCGACCUGAGAGGGUGAUAGGCCGCCUUGGAGCGGGGCCGGCGUCCAGAGUCCUGCGGGACGCAGCAGUAGGGAAUCGGCCGCAGUGGGCGAAAGCCUGACGGAGCAACGCCGCGUGAGUGACGAAGGUGCUCGGAUCGUGAAGAUCUGUUAUUAGGGAAAAACAACUGUGUAAAUAACUAUGCACGUCUUGACGGUACCUAAACAGAAAGCCACGGCUAACUACGUG
rnacentral:rRNA from 1 species